rnacentral:tRNA from 1 species
AUUUAAAUAGUUUAAUUAAAACAUAAUAUUGAAGAUAUUAGAAAAACAAUAAGUUUUUAAAUA